UCCUACACCAUCAGCCGCUUCCGGGUUC
rnacentral:piRNA from 1 species